rnacentral:rRNA from 1 species
UACGGAGGGUGCAAGCGUUAUCCGGAUUCACUGGGUUUAAAGGGUGCGUAGGUGGGCAGGUAAGUCAGUGGUGAAAUCUCCGGGCUUAACUCGGAAACUGCCAUUGAUACUAUCUGUCUUGAAUACCGUGGAGGUCAGCGGAAUAUGUCAUGUAGCGGUGAAAUGCUUAGAUAUGACAUAGAACACCAAUUGCGUAGGCAGCUUACUACACGAUCAUUGACGCUGAGGCACGAAAGCGUGGGGAGCAAACAGG